CACGCUGCAAGAAGGCUCGGAGCUACGUGACUGAGGGCUCGCCACGCCCCUGGCCACCGUAGGUCGAGUUCCCAGCUGGGCCGGCUCAACCGCCUGGGACUGGCUGCUCGGACACGCCCCACUCCCCUGGGCCCCAACUGCGCUAGACCGACCAGGUCGCCCAUCCACGUGCAGAGUCCUUCCUGCGUGCAGAACGUGCCAGCUCUGUCCUCUCUUUCUGAGCCUAGGUGAUCUCAAGUCCCAUGUUUCAAGCAAAGUUUACUGAGGAUAUAGUGACAGGGGAACAUCCCCACGUGGUUGACACAUAACUUGGAGGGCACAUAACACAUCAGGAAACAGUGUGGUCCACCCUAGCCAGGAACAAGUGAGACCUUUAUUUCUACAGAGAAGGCCAGAGGUGAUUUCAUCCUGGAAGGCUGUCAAAGCUCCUAUCCACCACCCCACAAAAAUAUUCCAGCAAUUCCCACAUUUAGAAGGCUCACAUCACAGCCGGGUUUCUGCAUCCUGGUCCUCGAAUUUACAAAACUCUAAAAAUAUGCCAGCUACCAUGUCAGGUAUUGGGGGCAGGGGGUGGGGGGUGGAGAAAGGAGUGUGUAACGUUUGCCUUUAGAAAAGUUACAGGACUUGUAGCAGGACCAGACCAGAACUAAAACCAAAGCAAGAGCUGAACGCUAAGACUGAACAACCCUACAAAACAGAGCUUGCCCUGAGGGACUGCUUGGAGCAACUUUUCUCUGGGAGGAUUGCCUAGAGUGAGCUAGGGAUUAAAUAAAAUAAUAAUGGAGAAAAUGUGGAUCAUAUCAACCAACCUGCUUCAGCUAACAACUGUCCACGGACUGCAGUGAAGUCAUUUUUACAGUGUGUGAACUCCGAAUUUCCUGUUUCCUUGGAAUGUUAUGAGUGACCUGCUUGUCUGUUUACAUUUCGAAACGCUGCAACAACAACGAAAAAGGAGUUCGGUUUAUCUUCACUGUUGGAAAAAGUUUACCCCUUGUCUCAAGCCCUCGAAGUAAGGAAAGUUGGCUGAUCGAGGCCAGAUUCUAAAUCCCUCAUUUCCUUGAGUGUUCCUGUCAUUGCCAAGUGCUUCAGAGAACAUGGAUGGACCCUUAACAGCUGCAGACCUGGGGCAGCCAGAGUUCCAAAAGCCUGAGAGAGUUGCUUUCAAUGAAGAACCUUUGCACAUCACACACCAAUACAAACUGCUUUACACAUCCCCAUCAGGGCUUUCCUAUGCUGAUGAGCACCGAGGAAUUAUAUAAAAAUAAGAAAAGAGAGACAUGACAUCUCAGUGUGUUAGAUUAUUUAAUAUGAUAAACCUUUGGAAAAACUGAAAAGAAAUGGAGUGUGCUAAGGGGCGUAACACAGGGGCCUUUCGAGAGCAAAGGCUGGAACUAGAAAUCUGUAGAAGGAUGGCGCAUCUUAGGGUUUUUGCCACUGACGUUUGGGUGUCUUCGUUGUCAAUCCUGGUAUGAUAAUCCACUCUCAA